UUUGACCUCAAAUCAGGUAGGACUACCCGCUGAACUU
rnacentral:rRNA from 4 species